rnacentral:rRNA from 3 species
GUAAUGUCUGGGAAACUGCCUGAUGGAGGGGGAUAACUACUGGAAACGGUGGCUAAUACCGCAUAACGUCGCAAGACCAAAGAGGGGGACCUUCGGGCCUCUUGCCAUCAGAUGUGCCCAGAUGGGAUUAGCUUGUUGGUGAGGUAACGGCUCACCAAGGCGACGAUCCCUAGCUGGUCUGAGAGGAUGACCAGCCACACUGGAACUGAGACACGGUCCAGACUCCUACGGGAGGCAGCAGUGGGGAAUAUUGCACAAUGGGCGCAAGCCUGAUGCAGCCAUGCCGCGUGUAUGAAGAAGGCCUUCGGGUUGUAAAGUACUUUCAGCGGGGAGGAAGGUGUUGUGGUUAAUAACCGCAGCAAUUGACGUUACCCGCAGAAGAAGCACCGGCUAACUCCGUGCCAGCAGCCGCGGUAAUACGGAGGGUGCAAGCGUUAAUCGGAAUUACUGGGCGUAAAGCGCACGCAGGCGGUCUGUCAAGUCGGAUGUGAAAUCCCCGGGCUCAACCUGGGAACUGCAUUCGAAACUGGCAGGCUUGAGUCUUGUAGAGGGGGGUAGAAUUCCAGGUGUAGCGGUGAAAUGCGUAGAGAUCUGGAGGAAUACCGGUGGCGAAGGCGGCCCCCUGGACAAAGACUGACGCUCAGGUGCGAAAGCGUGGGGAGCAAACAGGAUUAGAUACCCUGGUAGUCCACGCCGUAAACGAUGUCUACUUGGAGGUUGUGCCCUUGAGGCGUGGCUUCCGGAGCUAACGCGUUAAGUAGACCGCCUGGGGAGUACGGCCGCAAGGUUAAAACUCAAAUGAAUUGACGGGGGCCCGCACAAGCGGUGGAGCAUGUGGUUUAAUUCGAUGCAACGCGAAGAACCUUACCUGGUCUUGACAUCCACAGAAGAAUCCAGAGAUGGAUUUGUGCCUUCGGGAACUGUGAGACAGGUGCUGCAUGGCUGUCGUCAGCUCGUGUUGUGAAAUGUUGGGUUAAGUCCCGCAACGAGCGCAAC